ensembl:lncRNA
AUAUAUAUAUAUAUAUAUAUAUAUAGAACCAGGGUCAGUGAGAUGGAUACAUAGAUAAAUAAAUGCACCUACCCCAAUGCCUAACCUGAGUUCAAUCCCUAGGACCCACAUGGUAGAAUAAGAAAAUGGAUUCCCACAGUUGUUGCCUAGCCCAUAGAUACCAUUACACUCGCAUGUACACAUAGUAAGUUAUUGUUGUUUUGUUUUGUUUUCUUAAGACAGGGUUUCUCUGGGUGGCCCUGGCUGUCCUGGAACUUGAUCUAUAGAUUUUCUAAAAAUAAGUAGAUAAGUAAAUAAGUAAGUAAAUAAGUAAAUAAAGCAAGGGCAAGAGAAAUGCCUUAGCAGUUAAGAGUACUGGCUGCUUAAGCAGAGGACCUGGGUUUGGCUCCCAGUGCCCUCAUGGUGGCUUAUAACCCUCUGUAAGUCCAGCUCCAGGGAAGUUAAUGCCUCUGGGUUGCAUGGGUACCUGCACUAGCAUGCGUGCACACAUAAUUAAAGAUAAUAAAAAUAAGUUUUUAACCUGUAUCUUGAAUAUCCCUUAAAAAUUCCAGCUUUGGAUCACAUCUAAUCUCUUGAUUAGGGCUUUCACCAAAAAGAGAACGCUAGCUUGUUGAGAUAGGAUAUAGUUAAUACAUUUCUGGAUGGCUUGGUACUCACUGUGUAGCCUAGACUGGGGGUUACAGAUGUGUACCUCAAGCCAAAUCUUUAUGAGGGAUCAAACCCAGGGCUUCUUGAAUGUUAUGCAAGCACUUUACCAACACAGUUAUAUCCCCAGCUCAUAAAGGUUUUGUUGUCACUGUUGUUUUCUUUUAUUUAUGUGUGGGGAGUGGUUAGAGUCACAUCUGGGCACUUGUGAAGUCAGAAGACAACCUUUUGGAGUGGGCUCUCCUCUUCCACCAAGCAGGUCCUGGGUCAGCAGGUUGGUAACCAGGGCCUUUACCUGCUGAGCUGUCUCCCCCAGCAGAAUAGUGUUGAGUAGAUAUGAAGGCCCCUUCCAACCUCUUUCCCCAGCUACUCAUUCUCACCAGAGGGAUCUGUUAGUUUGUUCUGUGUUCUGAGCUAUUUUUUGCAUCUGAAACAGUGUGUAUAUCCUUUGGAUCUUCUCACACAGACAGAAGCAGUAUACAGAUCAACCUAUACUUUUUUUUCCCCAGUUAACAUGGAAAUCUCUCCUUAUCAAAAGCAAAAGCUGCGUCAGCCUCUGUUUCUCCCACAUGAUUUAUCUAACCAGUUUCCUGCUGGUGGAUGUUCAGUGCUGUGACUUUUCUGUCUCCUCUUUGUUGUUGUGUGACUCUAGGUCUUUCCCCAGAGCCCAUAUUAAAAAGCUCACCUGUACUUGGGAGACAGAAGCAAGUGGAUCACUUGUGAAAUCUAAAUAAUGAGACCCUGUCUUUAAAAAGAGGUGAACAGUUCCCCGAGGAAUGAAUGACACCUGACGUUGGCCCCCAGCCUCCACAUACACACAGGUGCUUGCAUAUUUGUACAUACAUAUAAAAUCAAAAGCCAUUCAUGUUACAUAAAGGAAAGUCUCACCUGUUUUCUUCAAGCAUUCUUCUGGCCAGGUCUGACAGGUCCAAAUGCUCAUGGCUCUGCAUGGUGUCCAGGGUGGAGGCCAGCCCCUGGCAGUCAGUCUCCCUGCCUGUCUUCUGAACACUCCAUUCCUGUCACCUCCUAGCAGGUGUCUAACCAUAUCAUGAGGCCACUGGUCUGUUUGUGGUGUGUGUGUUGGUUUUUGUUUUUUUCUAUGUCUGAUUAUAUAGUCAUGGCUGGCUUGGAACUCUCACAGACCCAGCUGUUCUCCAGCUUGUGCUGAUCUGCCUCUGCCUCCCAAGUGCUUGAUUCACCACUCCUGGUGCUCCCAACAACCAACACCUGCAUGGGCCUUUGUCACUGUCAUUGGAGCCAGGAGUUCAGGGUUUGGGUCAAGCAGCUUGAGUUCCAGGACUGGCCUUUCUGUUGCUGUGACCUCAGGGUUGUUACUCUGUGAUGAAACACCCUGACCGAAAGUGACUUGGAGAAGAAAGGGGUUUUGGCUUACUCUUCUACAUCACAGUUCAUCAUCAAAGGAAGUCAGAACCCAGGACCACCAGCCCAGGGAUGGCACCACCCACAAUGGGCUGGGCACUCCUCUGUCAAUCACUAAUUAAGAAAACACCCUGCCAGACAGUGGUGACUCACACCUUUAAUAUUAGAACUCAGGAGGCAUGGGCAGGCAGAAGACCUCCUGAAUUUGAGGCCAGCUUGACCUACAGAGUAAGUACCAGGACAACCAGCAGUAUACAGAGAAAUCCUGCCUCAAAAAAAACAGAAAGAGCCCAGCAGCAAUCCCAGCACUAGGAAGGCAGAGGCAGAUGGAACUAUGUGAAUUCAAGGCUAGCCUGGUCUACAGAGUGAGUACCAGGACAACCUCCAAAGCAAUACAGAGAAACCCUGUCUCAGGAGGAGGAGGAGGAGGAGGAAG